rnacentral:rRNA from 1 species
AACACGGGCCCCUGCAUUUUCAAUAAGCGGAGGGAAAAGAAACCCACAGGGAUUGCCCCUAGUUGACCGAACACCGCCGAGUGAAGCGCGGCAACAGCUUCAAAUUUGAAAUCUGGCUUCGGCCCGAGUUGUAAUUUGCAGAGGAUGCUUUCGGGCAAAGGUGCCUUCCGAGUCCACUGGAACGUGGCGCCACAGAGGGUGAGAGCCCCGUAUCGUUGGAUACCGCGCCUGUGUGAAGCUCCCUCGACGAGUCGAGUAGCUUGGGAAUGCUGCUCUAAACGGGAGGUAAAUUCCUUCCAAAGCUAAAAUACCGGCCCGAGACCGAUAGCGCACAAGUAGAGUGAUCGAAAGGAUGAAAAGCACUUUGGAAAGAGAGUCAAACAGCACGUGAAAUUUGUUGAAAGGAAAGGAUUUGUGACCAGACUUGCGCCGUACGGAUCUCCCGGUGUUCUCACCGGUGCACUCCGCGCGGUUCAGGCCAGCAUCGUUUUUUGGGGGGGGAACGAAAGCGAUGGGAACGUACUCUCCCCCCCUGGGGAGUUGUUAUAGCCCUGCCCGCAGAAAAACCCCCGCCGGGAGCCGAGCCCCGGGCUUUGUCAGGGAUGCCUGGCGUAAUGUUUACCAAUCCCCCCGCCUGGAAACCCCGGGCCACCCUGGUUUUUUAAUAAAGGGGAGAAAAAAGGCCCCCGUUUUUGAAAAAAAAAAACCAACGGCUUUUUUAAAAAAGGGGGAGAAAAA